GAUGAACGCUGGCGGCGUGCCUAAUACAUGCAAGUCGAGCGAACGGACGAGAAGCUUGCUUCUCUGAUGUUAGCGGCGGACGGGUGAGUAACACGUGGAUAACCUACCUAUAAGACUGGGAUAACUUCGGGAAACCGGAGCUAAUACCGGAUAAUAUUUUGAACCGCAUGGUUCAAAAGUGAAAGACGGUCUUGCUGUCACUUAUAGAUGGAUCCGCGCUGCAUUAGCUAGUUGGUAAGGUAACGGCUUACCAAGGCAACGAUGCAUAGCCGACCUGAGAGGGUGAUCGGCCACACUGGAACUGAGACACGGUCCAGACUCCUACGGGAGGCAGCAGUAGGGAAUCUUCCGCAAUGGGCGAAAGCCUGACGGAGCAACGCCGCGUGAGUGAUGAAGGUCUUCGGAUCGUAAAACUCUGUUAUUAGGGAAGAACAUAUGUGUAAGUAACUGUGCACAUCUUGACGGUACCUAAUCAGAAAGCCACGGCUAACUACGUGCCAGCAGCCGCGGUAAUACGUAGGUGGCAAGCGUUAUCCGGAAUUAUUGGGCGUAAAGCGCGCGUAGGCGGUUUUUUAAGUCUGAUGUGAAAGCCCACGGCUCAACCUUGGAGGGUCAUUGGAAACUGGAAAACUUGAGUGCAGAAGAGGAAAGUGGAAUUCCAUGUGUAGCGGUGAAAUGCGCAGAGAUAUGGAGGAACACCAGUGGCGAAGGCGACUUUCUGGUCUGUAACUGACGCUGAUGUGCGAAAGCGUGGGGAUCAAACAGGAUUAGAUACCCUGGUGGUCCACGCAGUAAACGAUGAGUGCUAAGUGUUAGGGGGUUUCCGCCCCUUAGUGCUGCAGCUAACGCAUUAAGCACUCCGCCUGGGGAGUACGACCGCAAGGUUGAAACUCAAAGGAAUUGACGGGGACCCGCACAAGCGGUGGAGCAUGUGGUUUAAUUCGAAGCAACGCGAAGAACCUUACCAAAUCUUGACAUCCUUUGACAACUCUAGAGAUAGAGCCUUCCCCUUCGGGGGACAAAGUGACAGGUGGUGCAUGGUUGUCGUCAGCUCGUGUCGUGAGAUGUUGGGUUAAGUCCCGCAACGAGCGCAACCCUUAAGCUUAGUUGCCAUCAUUAAGUUGGGCACUCUAAGUUGACUGCCGGUGACAAGCCGGAGGAAGGUGGGGAUGACGUCAAAUCAUCAUGCCCCUUAUGAUUUGGGCUACACACGUGCUACAAUGGACAAUACAAAGGGCAGCGAAACCGCGAGGUCAAGCAAAUCCCAUAAAGUUGUUCUCAGUUCGGAUUGUAGUCUGCAACUCGACUACAUGAAGCUGGAAUCGCUAGUAAUCGUAGAUCAGCAUGCUACGGUGAAUACGUUCCCGGGUCU
rnacentral:rRNA from 1 species